rnacentral:rRNA from 1 species
UACGAAGGGGGCUAGCGUUGCUCGGAAUCACUGGGCGUAAAGGGUGCGUAGGCGGGUCUUUAAGUCAGGGGUGAAAUCCUGGAGCUCAACUCCAGAACUGCCUUUGAUACUGAAGAUCUUGAGUUCGGGAGAGGUGAGUGGAACUGCGAGUGUAGAGGUGAAAUUCGUAGAUAUCUGGAGGAACACCGGUGGCGAAGGCGGCAUCCUGGACCGGUAUUGACGCUGAGGCGCGGAAAGCCAGGGGAGCAAACGGG